CUAGAUUUCUAUGUCCAAGGCCCUUAUCCAUUCACAUGCUUCCUUCGUAACUUCAUUAAUUCCAUUAAUGCCCGACGCGAGCCUUCUAUUCGGACAUUCGUCUGUAAUAUAUCUCAUAGUCUUACUGUCAUUUCCAUAAUCACAUUCUGGGGGUGUCCUUUAAUUUCCACUUGAACAUCAUAUGUCCACAUCUUCCAUGUCCAGUUCUUAAUCGGUUAAGGAUUACCCAUUCUUGUCGUGGAAGUUCGAACCCUUUAAAUCUUUGUGUGGGAUUAUUUAUCAAAUUUGUAUGUAAUACCUUAUUGUCCAG
rnacentral:lncRNA from 1 species